rnacentral:rRNA from 1 species
UCAAGUAAUUAAGUGCAUGUGGUGGAUGCCUUGGCAGUCAGAGGCGAUGAAAGACGUGAUAGCCUGCGAAAAGCUCCGGGGAGGCGGCAAAUAUCCUUUGAUCCGGAGAUGUCUGAAUGGGGGAACCCACCUACUUUAAGGUAGGUAUUGCAACAUGAAUACAUAGUGUUGCAAGGCGAACGAGGGGAAGUGAAACAUCUCAGUACCCUUAGGAAAAGAAAUCAAUUGAGAUUCCCUCAGUAGCGGCGAGCGAACGGGGAUCAGCCCAUUAAGUUAUGUGUGUUUUAGUGGAACGCUCUGGGAAGUGCGAACGUAGAGGGUGAUAUUCCCGUACACGAAAGGGCACACAUAAUGAUGACGAGUAGGGCGAGGCACGUGAAACCUUGUCUGAAUAUGGGGGGACCAUCCUCCAAGGCUAAAUACUCCUGACUGACCGAUAGUGAACCAGUACCGUGAGGGAAAGGCGAAAAGAACCCCUGUGAGGGGAGUGAAAUAGAUCCUGAAACCGCAUGCAUACAAGCAGUGGGAGCACCUUCGUGGUGUGACUGCGUACCUUUUGUAUAAUGGGUCAGCGACUUAUAUUCAGUAGCGAGGUUAACCGUAUAGGGGAGCCGUAGAGAAAUCGAGUCUUAAUAGGGCGUUUAGUUGCUGGGUAUAGACCCGAAACCAGGCGAUCUAUCCAUGAGCAGGUUGAAGGUUGGGUAACACUAACUGGAGGACCGAACCCACUGUCGUUGAAAAGCCAGGGGAUGACUUGUGGAUAGGGGUGAAAGGCUAAUCAAGCCUGGUGAUAGCUGGUUCUCCCCGAAAGCUAUUUAGGUAGCGCCUCGGACGAAUACCAUAGGGGGUAGAGCACUGUUUCGGCUAGGGGGUCAUCCCGACUUACCAAACCGAUGCAAACUCCGAAUACCUAUGAGUACUAUCCGGGAGACAGACUGCGGGUGCUAACGUCCGUAGUCAAGAGGAAAACAAUCCAGACCGCCAGCUAAGGCCCCAAAAUCAUAGUUAAGUGGGAAACGAUGUGGGAAGGCAUAGACAGCUAGGAGGUUGGCUUAGAAGCAGCCACCCUUUAAAGAAAGCGUAAUAGCUCACUAGUCGAGUCGGCCUGCGCGGAAGAUGUAACGGGGCUAAAACUAUGUGCCGAAGCUGCGGAUGUAUACUUUGUAUACGUGGUAGGGGAGCGUUCUGUAAGCCGAUGAAGGUGUGUUGAGAAGCAUGCUGGAGGUAUCAGAAGUGCGAAUGCUGACGUGAGUAACGACAAAACGGGUGAAAAACCCGUUCGCCGAAAGACCAAGGGUUCCAGUCCAACGUUAAUCGGGGCUGGGUGAGUCGACCCCUAAGGCGAGGCCGAAAGGCGUAGUCGAUGGGAAAAUGGUUAAUAUUCCAUUACUUCUGUGUAAUGCGAUGAGAGGACGGAGAAGGCUAAAUCAGCCUGGCGUUGGUUGUCCAGGUGAAAGGAUGUAGGCAUGUAUCUUAGGCAAAUCCGGGGUACUCUAUGCUGAGAUCUGAUAGCAAGCUGUACUUGUACAGCGAAGUGGUUGAUGCCAUGCUUCCAGGAAAAGUCUCUAAGCUUCAGUUACACAGGAAUCGUACCCGAAACCGACACAGGUGGUCAGGUCGAGUAGACCAAGGCGCUUGAGAGAACUCUGCUGAAGGAACUAGGCAAAAUGGUACCGUAACUUCGGGAGAAGGUACGCUGUUGUUGGUGAUGGAACUCGCUUCCUGAGCUGACGACAGCCGCAGAAACCAGGCCGCUGCAACUGUUUAUUAAAAACAUAGCACUCUGCAAACACGAAAGUGGACGUAUAGGGUGUGAUGCCUGCCCGGUGCUGGAAGGUUAAUUGAUGGGGUUAGCGUAAGCGAAGCUCUUGAUCGAAGCCCCAGUAAACGGCGGCCGUAACUAUAACGGUCCUAAGGUAGCGAAAUUCCUUGUCGGGUAAGUUCCGACCUGCACGAAUGGCAUAAUGAUGGCGGCGCUGUCUCCAGCAGAGGCUCAGUGAAAUCGAAAUCGCUGUGAAGAUGCAGUGUACCCGCGGCUAGACGGAAAGACCCCGUGAACCUUUACUGCAGCUUGACACUGAACUUUGACCUUACUUGUGUAGGAUAGGUGGGAGGCUUUGAAGCUGGAACGCUAGUUCCAGUGGAGCCGUCCUUGAAAUACCACCCUGGUAAUGUUGAGGUUCUAACUCUGUCCCGUGAUCCGGGACGAGGACCGUGUCUGGUGGGUAGUUUGACUGGGGCGGUCUCCUCCUAAAGAGUAACGGAGGAGUACGAAGGUGCGCUCAGCGUGGUCGGAAAUCACGCGUAGAGUAUAAAGGCAAAAGCGCGCUUAACUGCGAGACCCACAAGUCGAGCAGGUACGAAAGUAGGUCUUAGUGAUCCGGUGGUUCUGUAUGGAAGGGCCAUCGCUCAACGGAUAAAAGGUACUCUGGGGAUAACAGGCUGAUACCGCCCAAGAGUUCAUAUCGACGGCGGUGUUUGGCACCUCGAUGUCGGCUCAUCUCAUCCUGGGGCUGAAGCAGGUCCCAAGGGUAUGGCUGUUCGCCAUUUAAAGAGGUACGCGAGCUGGGUUUAGAACGUCGUGAGACAGUUCGGUCCCUAUCUACCGUGGGCGCUGGAAAUUUGAGAGGAUCUGCUCCUAGUACGAGAGGACCAGAGUGGACGAACCUCUGGUGUACCGGUUGUGACGCCAGUCGCAUCGCCGGGUAGCUAUGUUCGGAAGGGAUAACCGCUGAAAGCAUCUAAGCGGGAAGCCUACCUCAAGAUAAGAUUUCCCUAGGACUUUAUGUCCUCUAAAGAGCCGUUCGAGACUAGG